rnacentral:rRNA from 1 species
AUCUUCUACUAUGGAGAGUUUGAUCCUGGCUCAGGAUGAACGCUAGCGGCAGGCCUAACACAUGCAAGUCGAGCGGUAGGGGACUUCGGUCCCUGAGAGCGGCGCACGGGUGCGUAACGCGUAUGCAACCUACCCUUUACAGGGGAAUAGCCCGUCGAAAGGCGGAUUAAUGCCCCAUGGCUCCUUCGAGAGGCAUCUCUUGGAGGGUAAAGAUUCAUCGGUAAAGGAUGGGCAUGCGUGCCAUUAGCUGGAUGGUGGGGUAACGGCCCACCAUGGCGACGAUGGCUAGGGGUUCUGAGAGGAAGGCCCCCCACACUGGGACUGAGACACGGCCCAGACUCCUACGGGAGGCAGCAGUGAGGAAUAUUGGUCAAUGGGCGGAAGCCUGAACCAGCCAUGCCGCGUGCGGGAAGAAGGCGCUACGCGUCGUAAACCGCUUUUGUCCGGGGGUAACCGCGGGGACGUGUCCCCGCCUGCAAGUACCGGACGAAUAAGGGUCGGCUAACUCCGUGCCAGCAGCCGCGGUAAUACGGAGGACCCGAGCGUUAUCCGGAUUCAUUGGGUUUAAAGGGUGCGUAGGCGGCCCGGUAAGUCAGCGGUGAAAGGCUCCUGCUCCACAGGAGAGCUGCCGUUGAUACUGCUGGGCUAGAAUCUUAGCGAGGCGGGCGGAAUGCGCGGUGUAGCGGUGAAAUGCAUAGAUAUCGCGCAGAACGCCGAUUGGGGAGCCAGCUCGCCAGCUGAGUAUUGACGCUGAGGCACGAAAGCGUGGGGAUCGAACAGGAUUAGAUACCCUGGUAGUCCACGCCGUAAACGAUGAUGGCUCGCUCUUGGUUCGCAAGGAUCAGGGGCUUAGCGAAAGCGUUAAGCCAUCCACCUGGGGAGUACGCCGGCAACGGUGAAACUCAAAGGAAUUGACGGGGGCCCGCACAAGCGGAGGAACAUGUGGUUUAAUUCGAUGAUACGCGAGGAACCUUACCCAGGCUCGAACGCCGAACGAAUACGGGGGAAACUCCGUAGCCAGCAAUGGCGGUCGGCGAGGUGCUGCAUGGUUGUCGUCAGCUCGUGCCGUGAGGUGUCGGCUUAAGUGCCAUAACGAGCGCAACCCCUAUCGGUAGUUGCCAGCGGGUUAUGCCGGGAACUCUACCGAGACUGCCAGCGCAAGCUGCGAGGAAGGCGGGGAUGACGUCAAAUCAGCACGGCCCUUACGUCUGGGGCGACACACGUGUUACAAUGGCCGGUACAGAGGGCAGCCACCCAGCGAUGGGGCGCGAAUCUCAAAAGCCGGUCGUAGUUCGGAUCGGAGGCUGCAACCCGCCUCCGUGAAGCUGGAUUCGCUAGUAAUCGCAUAUCAGCCAUGAUGCGGUGAAUACGUUCCCGGGCCUUGUACACACCGCCCGUCAAACCAUGGGAGCUGGGGGGACCUGAAGUGCGUGACCGCAAGGAGCGCCCUAGGGUAAAACCGGUGACUGGGGUUAAGUCGUAACAAGGUAGCCGUACCGGAAGGUGCGGCUGGAACACCUCCUUUCU